rnacentral:rRNA from 1 species
UUGACGGGACCCGCACAAGCGGUGGAUGAUGUGGUUUAAUUCGAUGCAACGCGAAAAACCUUACCCACCUUUGACAUGUACGGAAUCCUUUAGAGAUAGAGGAGUGCUCGAAAGAGAACCGUAACACAGGUGCUGCAUGGCUGUCGUCAGCUCGUGUCGUGAGAUGUUGGGUUAAGUCCCGCAACGAGCGCAACCCUUGUCAUUAGUUGCUACAUUUAGUUGGGCACUCUAAUGAGACUGCCGGUGACAAACCGGAGGAAGGUGGGGAUGACGUCAAGUCCUCAUGGCCCUUAUAGGUGGGGCUACACACGUCAUACAAUGGAUGGUACAAAGGGUCGCCAACCCGCGAGGGGGAGCCAAUCCCAUAAAGCCAUUCGUAGUCCGGAUCGCAGUCUGCAACUCGACUGCGUGAAGUCGGAAUCGCUAGUAAUCGUGGAUCAGAAUGUCACGGUGAAUACGUUCCCGGGUCUU